rnacentral:rRNA from 1 species
CUCGUAGUUGAACCUUGGGUCUGGCUGGCCGGUCCGCCUCACCGCGAGUACUGGUCCGGCUGGACCUUUCCUUCUGGGGAACCUCAUGGCCUUCACUGGCUGUGGGGGGAACCAGGACUUUUACUGUGAAAAAAUUAGAGUGUUCAAAGCAGGCCUUUGCUCGAAUACAUUAGCAUGGAAUAAUAGAAUAGGACGUGUGGUUCUAUUUUGUUGGUUUCUAGGACCGCCGUAAUGAUUAAUAGGGAUAGUCGGGGGCGUCAGUAUUCAGCUGUCAGAGGUGAAAUUCUUGGAUUUGCUGAAGACUAACUACUGCGAAAGCAUUCGCCAAGGAUGUUUUCAUUAAUCAGGGAACGAAAGUUAGGGGAUCGAAGACGAUCAGAUACCGUCGUAGUCUUAACCAUAAACUAUGCCGACUAGGGAUCGGACGGGAUUCUAUAAUGACCCGUUCGGCACCUUACGAGAAAUCAAAGUUUUUGGGUUCUGGGGGGAGUAUGGUCGCAAGGCUGAAACUUAAAGAAAUUGACGGAAGAGCACCACAAGGCGUGGAGCCUGCGGCUUAAUUUGACUCAACACGGGGAAACUCACCAGGUCCAGACACAAUAAGGAUUGACAGAUUGAGAG